rnacentral:sRNA from 14 species
GUGACAGCAUUUAAAGAUGUAUUUGUGUAUAUUUCUGCAGAAGGUGUACAGCAGGAGAUAGUGGAAAGCAGGUUUCUCCUACAAAUAUGUUCCGAACCCUGACCUAAAGAGAUCACCUUUAGAGAUGACUCUCUGUGCCCAUUCAAUCCUUGACCUCC